rnacentral:rRNA from 1 species
GACGAACGCUGGCGGCGUGCCUAAUACAUGCAAGUAGAACGCUGAAGAGAGGAGCUUGCUCUUCUUGGAUGAGUUGCGAACGGGUGAGUAACGCGUAGGUAACCUGCCUUGUAGCGGGGGAUAACUAUUGGAAACGAUAGCUAAUACCGCAUAACAAUGGACGACACAUGUCAUUUAUUUGAAAGGGGCAAUUGCUCCACUACAAGAUGGACCUGCGUUGUAUUAGCUAGUAGGUGAGGUAAUGGCUCACCUAGGCGACGAUACAUAGCCGACCUGAGAGGGUGAUCGGCCACACUGGGACUGAGACACGGCCCAGACUCCUACGGGAGGCAGCAGUAGGGAAUCUUCGGCAAUAGGGGCAACCCUGACCGAGCAACGCCGCGUGAGUGAAGAAGGUUUUCGGAUCGUAAAGCUCUGUUGUAAGUCAAGAACGGGGGUGAGAGUGGAAAGUUCACACUGUGACGGUAGCUUACCAGAAAGGGACGGCUAACUACGUG